rnacentral:rRNA from 1 species
GACGAACGCUGGCGGCGUGCCUAAUACAUGCAAGUCGAGCGAAGUUUUUCUGGUGCUUGCACUAGAAAAACUUAGCGGCGAACGGGUGAGUAACACGUAAAGAACCUGCCUCAUAGACUGGGACAACUAUUGGAAACGAUAGCUGAUACCGGAUAACAGUAUUUCUCGCAUGGGAGAUAUUUAAAAGUUGGUUAUGCUAACACUAUGAGAUGGCUUUGCGGUGCAUUAGCUAGUUGGUGGGGUAAAGGCCCACCAAGGCGACGAUGCAUAGCCGACCUGAGAGGGUGAUCGGCCACACUGGGACUGAGACACGGCCCAGACUCCUACGGGAGGCAGCAGUAGGGAAUCUUCCGCAAUGGGCGAAAGCCUGACGGAGCAACGCCGCGUGAGUGAAGAAGGAUUUCGGUUCGUAAAGCUCUGUUGUUAGGGAAGAAUGGAUAUGUAGUAACUAUACAUGUAAGAGACGGUACCUAACCAGAAAGCCACGGCUAACUACGUG